GUAGGUGGCAAGCGUUGUCCGGAAUUAUUGGGCGUAAAGCGCGCGGGGGCGGUCCUUUAAGUCUGAUGUGAAAGCCCACGGCUCAACCGUGGAGGGUCAUUGGAAACUGGGGGACUUGAGUACAGAAGAGGAAAGCGGAAUUCCAAGUGUAGCGGUGAAAUGCGUAGAGAUUUGGAGGAACACCAGUGGCGAAGGCGGCUUUCUGGUCUGUAACUGACGCUGAGGCGCGAAAGCGUGGGGAGCAAACAGGAUUAGAUACCCUGGUAGUCCACGCCGUAAACGAUGAGUGCUAAGUGUUAGGGGGUUUUCCCGCCCCCCUUAGUGCUGCAGCUAACGCAUUAAGCACUCCGCCUGGGGAGUACGGCCGCAAGGCUG
rnacentral:rRNA from 1 species